GAUACAGGCUAAAACAUGCUUGAACUUCAAAACACUUGGCUAAGUGGAAGAAGUCAGGUCCUCUAAGUUGUUGCCAAGAAGGACAACAACCUCGGCUAUUUGGGAGUGGCUGAGAAGCCAAGCCGGAGAUGAUGAAGCAAUCCUGGACUCAGCAACAUCAGGAAGCUACUCUCACAGGUGCCACCAUGCAUGUGAAGAAGUACCUGCUGAAGGGCCUGCAUCGGCUGCAGAAGGGCCCCGGCUAUACGUACAAGGAGCUGCUGGUGUGGUACUGCGACAACACCAACACCCACGGCCCCAAGCGCAUCAUCUGUGAGGGGCCCAAGAAGAAAGCCAUGUGGUUCCUGCUCACCCUGCUCUUCGCCUCCCUCGUCUGCUGGCAGUGGGGCAUUUUCAUCAGGACCUACUUGAGCUGGGAGGUCAGCGUCUCCCUCUCCGUAGGCUUCAAGACCAUGGACUUCCCCGCCGUCACCAUCUGCAAUGCUAGCCCCUUCAAGUAUUCCAAAAUCAAGCAUUUGCUGAAGGACCUUGACGAGCUGAUGGAAGCUGUCCUGGAGAGGAUCCUGGCUCCUGAGCUAAGCCAUGCCAGUGCCACCAGGAACCUGAACU
rnacentral:sRNA from 1 species